UACGUAGGGGGCAAGCGUUGUCCGGAUUUAUUGGGCGUAAAGAGCGUGUAGGCGGCUUUACAGGUCCGUUGUGAAAACUCGAGGCUCAACCUCGAGACGCCGGUGGAAACCGUAAAGCUAGAGUCCAGAAGAGGAGAGUGGAAUUCCUGGUGUAGCGGUGAAAUGCGCAGAUAUCAGGAGGAACACCCGUGGCGAAAGCGGCUCUCUGGGACGGUACUGACGCUGAGACGCGAAAGCGUGGGGAGCAAACAGG
rnacentral:rRNA from 1 species